GUUACACAGGUUCUGCAUGUCUCUCACUGAUCUCAAAUCAUCUCUCUCUCCCUCUCUUCGCAACUUUUUUUUGGCCAAGUUUAUCAUUUCCUUUCUUAUUGAUAUCUCCUCCCCCUCUAUAAUAAGAAACACUUUUGGGAGAAUUUUCGCUGGUCAAUUUUUGUCCAAUUUGGACAGAUUUAGCCCUCAAUUGCUAGGAAGCUAUGCUUGACUGAUUGGGUAGAGUAUUUCUUCAUUUGUGUUCCAUGCUCAUCAACUUUGUCUAUUGUAAUUGAUAAAAAAUAUAGCUCAAUGGUUCUGCAAUAAUUUUCUGAUAUGGCCUCCAGUCCUCUCAUAUUAGCAUGAACACCCCCAAAUUCGACUUUCUUAAAUGUAAUUAGUUUCAUGUGACUUGCUCGUUUGUUCUAAACAAACAAAUUUCGGAUCUUUCUCCCCUUUUCCAUUGUUUUAUUCCAUUUCUCCUUUUCAAUGGACUUGGGUUAAUACGCCUGCAUGUUUUCCUGACAGAUACAACUCCAAAAAUUUUAUUUUGGAGUGGUCCAUACUUCUCAUUGACGACUCAAACCGUAGUGGAUCAAUGGAAUUUGUUGUUCCUCCUUCAGAUUCAUCAGUCUUUUUCCCAAUUUCAGUGCAAUUUACUGCUGCAAGAACAUUUAGCGACCUAAAGGUUCUGUGCAAGCAUCAACUAGAACUUAACGAGAAAAAAGAAAAAUCGCUUGACAAAUAGCUUGAGUUUCUUCAGGGGCAAACUGAAAGGUACUCAACAAUGCUAGCAGAAAACCUGGUGAACUCACCAAUUACUUCAAGUUGAUAAAUUCAUGCAUUGCUGCUCAGGAACAACCAAGUACUCAACAUGGACGAGAUGAAAAUGGUACAUGUAUUUCUGUUGGAUUAGAAGUCAGUAAGCUUAAACUGCAGUUUCUUUACCCAAUAU